rnacentral:rRNA from 1 species
AGCAGUCGCCACGGGAAUACGUAGGUGGCAAGCGUUGUCCGGAAUUAUUGGGCGUAAAGCGCGCGCAGGCGGUUUCUUAAGUCUGAUGUGAAAGCCCCCGGCUCAACCGGGGAGGGUCAUUGGAAACUGGGAAACUUGAGUGCAGAAGAGGAGAGUGGAAUUCCACGUGUAGCGGUGAAAUGCGUAGAGAUGUGGAGGAACACCAGUGGCGAAGGCGACUCUCUGGUCUGUAACUGACGCUGAGGAGCGAAAGCGUGGGGAGCGAACAGGAUUAGAUACCCCCGUAGUCCCUGUCUCUUAUAC